UCGUCAGCUCGUGUCGUGAGAUGUUGGGUUAAGUCCCGCAACGAGCGCAACCCUUGCCUUUAGUUGCCAGCAUUAAGUUGGGCACUCUAGAGGGACUGCCAGGGAUAACCUGGAGGAAGGUGGGGAUGACGUCAAAUCAUCAUGCCCCUUAUGCUUAGGGCUACACACGUGCUACAAUGGGUGGUACAGAGGGCAGCCAAGUCGUGAGGCGGAGCUAAUCCCUUAAAGCCAUUCUCAGUUCGGAUUGUAGGCUGAAACUCGCCUACAUGAAGCUGGAGUUACUAGUAAUCGCAGAUCAGAAUGCUGCGGUGAAUGCGUUCCCGGGUCUUGUACACACCGCCCGUCACACCAUGGGAGUUGGGGGCGCCCGAAGCCGGAUAGCUAACCUUUUGGAAGCGUCCGUCGAAGGUGAACCCAAUAACUGGGGUGAAGUCGUAACAAGGUAGCCGUA
rnacentral:rRNA from 1 species